ACCUCCAGUGCAGGCUUUGGGAGUGGGAACAGAGCGGACACGCUAGGGACGCUGCUUUCUCCCCAGGACCUGACUUCCACCUGGUCUGGCUGCAAGCAGACACUGCCAUGGGGUCAAAACUACAAGGAAGGGAAACAUUUUGAAUCAGUUGAGGACAUCGAGGCAGCAGGACCCCACAACCAAGACUCUCAGGCAAGAGGACUCCAGAGCUGCUGCAGAAAGUGACAGGAUCAAUGGGCUUGCUGAAGCUUGUUCUCCCAGCCUGCUGGUGAACAUUAGAGCAGAAAUCUAUAACAUGACCAUGUUCAUCCAAGCACAGGAAGAAACUAAAUUAAAUGUUAAAAAACAAUCUGAGGCUGGAGUUGGAGACAAUUCAUCAUGAUCUGUGAUGCCAGGCAGGUGGGAUGGCUGAGGAUCCGCUGCCGGAGACCUGGCCGGAUGCGCAAGGGCGCGAGGCUCAUUUGUCGGGUGUGCCUGCCAGGGCACUCGGGAGACACGCGAAGGUCAGCUCUCUGGGCUGCAAUGUUUUUCCUUGAAACUGAGUACUACACACCUGAAAAGUGUAACUGCAGCAAAUCAGCAGAAAGAACUGGAAGAAAGGAGUGGAAUUCCUUAGGAAGAGCGUGCAUGGGGCAAUGUGUGGCAGAUCCCCAACACCAGCGCUGCUCACCCCAGGCCCAGCGCUGUUUUCACCCUUGUGUGCUGCAGACUGGGCAGGCUCACAUCACACUGGAGCCCUGGCCUUUCUCCUGGGUGACAGAGGUGAGGCUUGGGACAUGCGGCAGCCUGAGGUUCUGAAACAUCUGGAUGGUGUUCACUGCCGGGCAGCUCCUUCACCCCAGGACCACAGCACUGGGGAGAGCACUUCCCAGCAACAGCUUCGGAUGAUGCUGGAAGCAGCCUUUCUUCCUGUCCAGCUAAUCCAGUUUACACUGGACACAGCCACAUCUGCCAGGGUGAACUCAGACAGGCUGCUCACCCUGGACCAAGUUCUUUGCAUGCUAACAGCUCACUGGGCUGCCCAGAGGGGAAAGAAGAGGGACAAAACAAAGUGGAAAGAUGCAUGAAUCUGGUGGUGAAUCCAGACUGCUCUAGAAGACAAGAACCAAGAGGGCAGCCAGAAGCAGGCUGCAGGACAGCGAGGGCCACGCAGGGCACAGGCUUCCUGCAGCUCAGGGCCCGCGCCCCCACUUGCUCUGCCACUCUCCUCCUGUGAGGACUUGGACAGAGAUUACGGGACGUUCUACUGAAGGAGCUUCCUCCUUGGUCCCUGGAACAGAGACAGCUUCUCGGCGGCAGAAGGCGGCUGUUCUGCUCUGGACCAGCAGUGCCUGACCUGACCUCCACCCCUCAGCCGCCCAAGGCCAUCCUCGGAGCCUCGGGACAUCUGGGCACACAGGGGAAGUGCGUCACACAGGAAUCGGGAGUCCCUGACCAGAGAACUGGCCACUGAGCUCCAGAGGACGCAGUUAGAGACAGAGUGAGAAAGUCAGGGCUGAAUGGGAAGAAAGGGUAAAUAGCAAAGUUGGGCUAAGCUUCAGCUGGAGAAAAGCUCAGCUCCUGCACAGGGCGCAGCCACUUGUGUCCUGCAUCUAAGCUACAGUGUGCUCCACACAAGGACCAGGCACCUCGCCACCAGGGCUCCCGCACAGUGACGUGUCCCAGAGGCCGCUGACAUCCUGCUCCGAGCUCAUCACAAGCAUUCUGUACCUCAAAGACUGUGAUUGUCAGUUGCCACGUAAACACAGUUUGAAUUUUUAAAAGAAAAUUUGGAAUCUGGUGAAACACAACAGUGUCUGUUUUGGUGCUGGUGACGGCCUCAGCAGUGGCCCCUCCAUGGUGACAUACAGUGUCUCGCAUGUCAUGUCAGCUGUCAGAAUGCGACUUCCCUGGUCACGCAGCCCCUCAGAGGCAUUAGGAAGUGGAGGGUCUCGGCUUCUUGGUGGCUGUUCUGUUGGUUGAGUUUGUUCAAUACUAUGUAUUCGAGUCUUAGAAAACACCACAGGGCGGGAUUUAGAAAGAACGGCUCCCACACCUGGCCCCAGAGCGAUGCAGAAUUGAGCAGCUCCAUGGCUGAAGUUCAGCACCUCUGCCCUGAGCUCAAAUCGAGCCUCAAGUAGGAGAGUCUCCUCGCCAAGUCAGGAGUUCAGAGCCCCGGCAGGGCCACAAGUUCUCGGGACUUGUCCACGGCGCGUCCUCUGACACGAGGCACCAACCACUGAUUCCUCCGUGCCUUUCCUUCUGGCUCUUUACCUUGUGCCACCCAGUUACGUUUCUUUACAACCCAAAGCUGAACUGGAAAACUACAUUUUUAUCUGUUGCUGUCGUUUUGUCUGUUACUGACGUAACAAGUGAGUUUCUGUUUUUCAAGUAGAAAAAUGGGCUGGUAUUUGCACUGCAGUUCCUUUAAAUGCUUUUAUUUUGCAAGUUCUACUUCCAUGCUUUCUGUCCUCUGCUGUCCUCUUACUCCAUAAAAUUUUUAUU
rnacentral:lncRNA from 1 species